GGGGGACAAAGUGACAGGUGGUGCAUGGUUGUCGUCAGCUCGUGUCGUGAGAUGUUGGGUUAAGUCCCGCAACGAGCGCAACCCUUAAGCUUAGUUGCCAUCAUUAAGUUGGGCACUCUAAGUUGACUGCCGGUGACAAACCGGAGGAAGGUGGGGAUGACGUCAAAUCAUCAUGCCCCUUAUGAUUUGGGCUACACACGUGCUACAAUGGACAAUACAAAGGGCAGCGAAACCGUGAGGUCAAGCAAAUCCCAUAAAGUUGUUCUCAGUUCGGAUUGUAGUCUGCAACUCGACUACAUGAAGCUGGAAUCGCUAGUAAUCGUAGAUCAGCAUGCUACGGUGAAUACGUUCCCGGGUCUUGUACACACCGCCCGUCACACCACGAGAGUUUGUAACACCCGAAGCCGGUGGAGUAACCUUUUAGGAGCUAGCCGUCGAAGGUGGGACAAAUGAUUGGGGUGAAGUCGUAACAAGGUAGCCGUAUCGGAAGGUGCGGCUGGAUCACCUCCUUU
rnacentral:rRNA from 1 species